rnacentral:rRNA from 1 species
UGUAAGCGUAUACCAAAGUUGUUGCAGUUAAAACGCUCGUAGUCGGAAUUUGGCAGUUCCGGAUGUGUGCACGUCGUGUGCGCACUUCGCGGGGAUUGCUUUUGUGGUCUUGCGUAGGAUGAGGCACUUUUAUUAGUGAACGUCCUCACGCAACCACUUUUUACUGUGAGAAAAUCAGAGGGCUCAAAGCAGGCAUUUGCCGUGAAUGUAUUAGCAUGGAAUAAUAGAAUAGGACUUGGUUCUAUUUUGUUGGUUUGUUGGGACUGAGUAAUGAUUAAGAGGGACAGUUGGGGGCAUUUGUAUUUCGGUGCUAGAGGUGAAAUUCUUAGAUUACCGAAAGACAAACUGCUGCGAAAGCGUCUGCCAAGGAUGUUUUCAUUGA